AGUGGCGUACGGGUGAGUAACAAGGGGACAAUCUACCCUCUAGUGAGGAAUACCGCUGGGAAACCGGUGACAAUACCGCAUAAGCUCGAGAGAGGAAAGCAGAAAUGCGCUGGAGGAGGAGUCCGCGGCUGAUUAGCUAGUUGGUGAGGUAACGGCUCACCAAGGCAAAGAUCAGUAGCCGGCCUGAGAGGGCACACGGCCACACUGGCACUGAAACACGGGCCAGACUCCUACGGGAGGCAGCAGUGGGGAAUCUUGCACAAUGGGGGAAACCCUGAUGCAACGACGCCGCGUGAGCGAUGAAGCCCCUCGGGGUGUAAAGCUCUUUCGGCAGGGAAGAUUAUGACGGUACCUGCAGAAGCAGCUGCGGCUAACUACGUGCCAGCAGCCGCGGUAAUACGUAGGCAGCAAGCGUUGUUCGGAGUUACUGGGCGUAAAGGGUGUGUAGGCGGUUGGAUAAGUGUGGUGUGUAAUCUCCCGGCUCAACUGGGAGGGUGCGCUACA
rnacentral:rRNA from 1 species